UGCUAGUACACAACACUGAGGACCAGAAGUCAGCUUGAUUCCUGAGCUCACAGACACUUUUAGGUUCCUGUGUCCCAGAUUGGAAGGAGCUUUGGGGCAGAAAUCAUAUUUAUUCUACCCGGAACUUAGAAUCCUCAGCACCUAAACCCAUGCCUCGAGGUGAGUAUGCACAUACAUACUUGAUGAAUGAAUGUGUGAAUGCAUGGGUGAAGUGUGACCUUAAACUAUGUAGUAUGUGACCUUUAGCAUGAAACCCAUUUAAAUUCCC
ensembl:lncRNA